GUGGGGUAACGGCCUACCAAGGCGUCGACGGGUAGCUGGUCUGAGAGGACGGACAGCCACACUGGGACUGAGACACGGCCCAGACUCCUACGGGAGGCAGCAGUGGGGAAUAUUGCGCUAAUGCGCGAAAGCGUGACGCAGCGACGCCGCGUGGGGGAUGAAGGCCCUCGGGUCGUAAACCCCUUUCGCCAGGGACGAAGGGAAACUGACGGUACCUGCAGAAGAAGCCUCGGCUAACUACGUGCCAGCAGCCGCGGUAACACGUAGGAGGCGAGCGUUGUCCGGAAUCAUUGGGCGUAAAGAGCGCGCAGGCGGCUUGGCAAGUCGGGUGUGAAAUCCCGGGGCUCAACCCCGUGACUGCAUCCGAUACUGUCAGGCUAGAGGUAGGUAGGGGAGAUCGGAAUUCCUGGUGUAGCGGUGAAAUGCGCAGAUAUCAGGAGGAACACCGGUGGCGAAGGCGGAUCUCUGGGCCUUACCUGACGCUCAGGCGCGAAAGCUAGGGGAGCGAACAGGAUUAGAUACCCUGGUAGUCCUAGCCGUAAACGUUGGGUGCUAGGUGUGGGCGGAUAUCAACCCCGUCCGUGCCGAAGCUAACGCAUUAAGCA
rnacentral:rRNA from 1 species